UUAGAGUUUGAUCCUGGCUCAGGAUGAACGCUAGCUACAGGCUUAACACAUGCAAGUCGAGGGGCAGCAUGAAUAUUGGCUUGCCAAUAUUUGAUGGCGACCGGCGCACGGGUGAGUAACACGUAUCCAACCUUCCGGUUACUCGGGGAUAGGCUUUCGAAAGAAAGAUUAAUACCCGAUGUUGUGUAUCUUUCUCCUGAUUGAUACGCCAAAGGAUUCCGGUAACCGAUGGGGAUGCGUUCCAUUAGGCAGUUGGCGGGGUAACGGCCCACCAAACCUUCGAUGGAUAGGGGUUCUGAGAGGAAGGUCCCCCACAUUGGAACUGAGACACGGUCCAAACUCCUACGGGAGGCAGCAGUGAGGAAUAUUGGUCAAUGGACGGAAGUCUGAACCAGCCAAGUAGCGUGAAGGAUGACUGCCCUCUGGGUUGUAAACUUCUUUUAUACGGGAAUAACAUGAGGUACGGGUACCUUAUUGCAUGUACCGUUAUGAAUAAGCAUCGGCUAACUCCGUGCCAGCAGCCGCGGUAAUACGGAGGAUGCGAGCGUUAUCCGGAUUUAUUGGGUUUAAAGGGAGCGUAGGUGGGAUAUUAAGUCAGCUGUGAAAGUUUGGGGCUCAACCUUAAAAUUGCAGUUGAUACUGGUUUUCUUGAGUACGGUAUAGGUGGGCGGAAUUCGUGGUGUAGCGGUGAAAUGCUUAGAUAUCACGAAGAACUCCUAUUGCGAAGGCAGCUCACUGGACCGGCACUGACACUGAUGCUCGAAAGUGCGGGUAUCAAACAGGAUUAGAUACCCUGGUAGUCCGCACAGUAAACGAUGAAUACUCGCUGUUUGCGAUACACAGUAAGCGGCCAAGCGAAAGCGUUAAGUAUUCCACCUGGGGAGUACGCCGGCAACGGUGAAACUCAAAGGAAUUGACGGGGGCCCGCACAAGCGGAGGAACAUGUGGUUUAAUUCGAUGAUACGCGAGGAACCUUACCCGGGCUUAAAUUGCGCUGGCUUUUACCGGAAACGGUAUUUUCUUCGGACCAGCGUGAAGGUGCUGCAUGGUUGUCGUCAGCUCGUGCCGUGAGGUGUCGGCUUAAGUGCCAUAACGAGCGCAACCCUUAUCUUUAGUUGCCAUCAGGUUUUGCUGGGGACUCUAAAGAGACUGCCGUCGUAAGAUGCGAGGAAGGUGGGGAUGACGUCAAAUCAGCACGGCCCUUACGUCCGGGGCUACACACGUGUUACAAUGGGGAGCACAGCAGGUUGCUACACGGCGACGUGAUGCCAAUCCGUAAAACUCCUCUCAGUUCGGAUCGAAGUCUGCAACCCGACUUCGUGAAGCUGGAUUCGCUAGUAAUCGCGCAUCAGCCACGGCGCGGUGAAUACGUUCCCGGGCCUUGUACACACCGCCCGUCAAGCCAUGAAAGCCGGGGGUACCUGAAGUACGUAACCGCAAGGAUCGUCCUUAGUAAAC
rnacentral:rRNA from 1 species